GAGGGAAUUAAAUCAUAGUGAAUUUCAUUAGGUUUUCUGAGAUUUGGUUCCAUCAGGUCAUCUAGCAGCUUCAAUCACUCACCAACAAUAUCCAAAAUAAAUUCUUCAAAAAUAAAAUAAAUUGUGGAAUUGAUGAAGCUUAAUUGGCUUCGCCUCAUUCAAUUCAGUCUUCCCUUGUGGUGGUCAUAUCAGAUCAGAUAGAGGGAUGAGAUCAAUCCUCAUUUUCUCAGGGAGCUACUAGUUCUCAGUGCAUUUCUUAACGUUGAUGGUGUAUAUUUGCAUAACUAUUGGUGCCGCCGCUCUGACCACACGGAAGACGCCGCCGCACUUGAACUCGACUCAAUAUAUAUUAUUAAUUAACUUGCACAUUUUGCAACAUUUUAAAUUUGCAGCCGUUAAAUAUGGUGUUAUGGUCAAGCUUAAUUACUAUAUAUCUAGUUUUCUAUAAGAUUAAUGUUGUGUUAACUUAUUUUAA